rnacentral:rRNA from 1 species
AUGGGCCCUGGCAAGUUUGAGCCAUUAGAGCCGGAAGAACCUCGCGAGUGCUAUGGGAACCAAGUAGGAUGCAUCCUACGGGAAUGUGUGAGCAUCAACGACGAUGACUUAAGGAGUAAAGAACAUUUGAGGCAGUUGCUCCUGACGAAGUUGCACAAGAGAUUCAAGUUCACCGACCGGGAUGCUAGCAUAGAACAACCGUGGGACGAUCCGAAGAUGAAAAAGAUUAACAAUCACGCCAUGGGCAUGUUCAACAAUGAUUUGGCCUCCAGGAAAGGGAGGGUGAAACAAGCUCGCUCCCGUGCUUGCAGUCGUCGCUAG